rnacentral:rRNA from 1 species
UACGGAGGGGACUAGCGUUGUUCGGAAUUACUGGGCGUAAAGCGCGCGUAGGCGGAUUUGCAAGUCGGGGGUGAAAUCCUGGAGCUCAACUCCAGAACUGCCUUCGAUACUGGAAAGCUCGAGUCCGGGAGAGGUGAGUGGAACUGCGAGUGUAGAGGUGAAAUUCGUAGAUAUUCGCAAGAACACCAGUGGCGAAGGCGGCUCACUGGCCCGAUACUGACGCUGAGGCACGAAAGCGUGGGGAGCAAACAGG